GGCUCGGUGGUGUAGUGGUUAGCACUGCUAUCUCGCAGCAAAGAAGUUGUAGGUUUGUAUCCGGCCUGAGGCC